CCUACGGGAGGCAGCAGUGGGGAAUAUUGCGCAAUGGGCGAAAGCCUGACGCAGCGACGCCGCGUGAGGGAUGAAGGCCCUCGGAUCGUAAACCUCUUUCUGCAGGGAAGAACGGUCACUGUGCUAAUCAGCAGUGAAUUGACGGUACCUGCAAAGGAAGCACCGGCUAACUCCGUGCCAGCAGCCGCGGUAAUACGGAGGGUGCGAGCGUUAAUCGGAAUUAUUGGGUGUAAAGGGUGCGUAGGCGGACUGUUAAGUCAGCGGUAAAAGCCCGGGGCUCAACCCCGGCGAGCCGUUGAAACUGGCUGUCUUGAGAGGUCGAGAGGUAUGCGGAAUGCGCGGUGUAGCGGUGAAAUGCUUAGAUAUUGCGCAGAACUCCGAUUGCGAAGGCAGCAUACCGGCGGCGAUCUGACGCUGAGGCACGAAAGCGUGGGUAUCGAACAGGAUUAGAUACCCUGGUAGUC
rnacentral:rRNA from 1 species